GGGCAGGCUUCCCACCCAGCAAAUGCAGUUCCUAGACUGGAACCACCACAGUGGAAAGGAAUCCACCUGUGGGGGAAGAAGACUUUGUGACUGCCAAACCCUUGGAAGUGCCUCUCAUGGCUGCUCUGUUGUUCUGCAUACAGCAAGACCUGCAUUUGCAGUUCCUCCUGCUCUGGCUUCAGGGGAUAAAUCGGAGGUGUUUUGGCUGAGGAACAACUCUUCCCUGGGGGGAAAAAAGGCCAAAAGCCAAUUCACAGAAAGACAGGUUGAACACUAGAACUCAAGAUGACAAUCUGACAGCCACUUGGCAUCUGCUCUCAGAUGGCAGCCAGCUGGCUUCUCACAACAGUGUAUGCACCAGCAACAUUGUUAGGAAGAGCUUGCUGAGAAAGGCAAGGCAGUCCCUGCUUCGGCGCGACACCUCCUGUGAGGCUCCUCCUGUGCAGAGCCCGGCGCGUUGGUGCGUCACAGCGGGGCUGCUCUGGCACUGCUGCCUUUCCCCACAUCUGCACCCCCUGGCAUCCCUAAGGAAUCACCAAAUUACUGAUGGGGGCUAAUCAGCAUCAACCACCUGAUUUUCUGGGCUUCAUCCUGCUAAUACACAAGAGUUUAUAGCUUUAUGCAAGGCAGGGCCAGCCAUUUGACUCAAAGGACAACGUGACUGUCGGGUGAAGGCUUCAGAAUGUUGGCUCUGUGGACUUGGAAUUGCUCUUGUUUGCAUAGUACCUUGCAGAAGAUGAACCCACCUAUCAUUUUGAUUCAUAGUGGCAGUAUGGCUUUGAUUAGAUAUUUUGCUGGGAGGCAGCAAAAUUUACCAUUCUUGUUCAGCUCUAGAACAGGUUGAAAAACAGUUGCCCUACAAAGCUGCCAAGCUCUGCUCUGCCAUGGGAACACCUUGCAACCCUCUUAUCAGGCCCCACUGACUACAGUGCUGAAAAUGUGCCAGUGCUGGUGGUGGGUACUUCACUUGAUGUGUAAGCCAUUGUUCCCAGCACAGCAGGAACAAAUACAAGGGCAGGGAGAAAUGCCUGCAUCUACAAACAAGGACAGUACUGCAUCGAGAAUGGACCUGAGGAGUCUAAACAGCUGCCAAAUGUGUAUCAGCUUCAGGUCUUUUUCUCUGUCCUGUCUGCACCAGCUUUUUCAAGUGCUCUUGUUUUUGCUCUGAGAGUUCCUGAUCUAUCUCUGGUUUACUGAUAGCUGUCACAGACACACAAUCCACCAUCUUAAGUAUUUGUGUCAUCAUGAAUUCAAUGCAGAACACUGAGAGCUUUCCACUUCUGGCAAUUAACUUGAGAUAAAUAAAAGUGGUAAGAGGAGGCAUUAAGUUACCCACCUGCAGAAAACUGGCUCUCUGCUGAGUGCUCUUGACAGAUGAGUGCGCCUGAGGAAGUGCUAAUUGCAAUAUACUCCUUAAUGGUUUUUAUGUUGAUGCACAAAAGAUUGAGAAAAUGGGAAGAAAAUGAAAAUGCCUCUGUCUUUUGAGUCACAGUGGAAGAUAUACAGGAAUUGGACUCUCACAUAAAGAAUAUGCUAAGAACAGGGGAACAAGCAGAGGGUUGAUGCCAUGAAUAGAAAUCUCCGUCUGUGCUCUGGCCAUGGUCCAGACUGUAUGACAUAGUGUACCUGAUACAGUGCCCAUUUGGAUCAUUUAUAUAACAUCAUAGGUGCUAUGAGUAAUGCAGGAAGAUGCUCUGUGUGACCCAAGAGUCUCAUGUUGAGAGUGAAACAGACACAAUACAAAGGUUCAUUUUUGAUGCAUGCACAGGAAAAAGCAGCACUGGAUCAGAUGAGGAACAAAGCUCAGGUAAAAAAGCAAGUGCUGAUCUUGGCCAUAAAAAUGGCAUGAGAAAAGACAAAGGAUUGCUAGGUGGGCACAAAGUGCUGUGAAGUAAUGGAGCCAAGGGUGAAGACUGAGAGUGCAACAGAAGGAAUGGUGAGAUUAGACAGAGCUAUGUGUCUCUAGGAAAUGAAGUUACAAAGACUGUGGACUUGGAAGAAAAAAGGAAACUGGGUUAUAGGGGCGGUGGACUAUAAUAUACGUGUAUAAUAUGCAGCUGGUUAAGCAGAAAAUCUGACUUAAUAUGCAGUAUUUUUGAAGGCAUGGGCAAAAAACAAGUGCAAAAGUGUCUGGAGUAGAUGCAACCAGUGCAGUGAAUGCCUGACAUGAUGGGAGCCAUGUGAGCUGGUGGCACUGCUAACCCACUUGGGGUGAGUCACCUUGGGAUGAAGCAGAGUUCAUCAAGUACGAGGGAAAUGCAAUGUGCUGGCAUCCCCAUGGCCAUUGCUGAAUGCAGUUGUGAGAAAUCCAUAGCCCCACACUUAUCCUGCACCCUCCUUCCCCAAAAACUGCACCAGGUGCACCUCUUGUCUGUAAGGCUAUAAAGACCUCAAAAGUGAGUGCAACAACACCAGAUUGGAAAUAUAUCUGAAUUUAACUGCAACAGAGCUGCAUUUAACCCACUAAACCAAAUGAUUCCCUGAAGGACAGUAUCACAGUUGUGCAAUUUCCCACCCUUAAAAGGGAAAAUGCAUGCUGUAUGAUCCGGAAGGCACAACAGGGAGAGUAGAUGUGAUGUGCUGGAGACAAUUGCUGUAAACCUGCACUAUCUCUACUCCAUGUUAUAUUGCAGUGAUUAUUUUUUCCUCCACAGAGAAAUGAUAAAAAAGUCAAAGAACAACCAAAGGUUUUUUGCCAAAGAUAGAGCAGAUCCUUUGGCUCUUCAAAUGCUACCCCUUUGGAGAAGGGAGAAAUGCAGCCAGGAUUGCAUGUGGCAUCUCAGGAAUAUCUGGGGAAACAGCACAAAUGUUCACAACAACCUCUGACCUGCUGCACAGAAUCUGCCCCAUGCAGACCAGGAAUGAUGAUUACAACACAGACCUGGCGUCAGCCAAAGAGCACAGCGUGUUCGAAAGUCUCAUUUACAGCUUGAUUCGGGUCACUGGAAACCAGGAAGGAAACGGUUACGUGGAUGUUUCUUCACUGUAUUGUUUACAGGAUACACAGGGAAAUUUUUUGCUUCAUAUUUGGGUAGUUCAAAAGGCAGAGCCAGCAUAGUUGAGAAGAAGAAUUGGCAGCACUGAAUUUGGCCAUAGCAAAGGCAGAUUUCAGUGCUGACUGCCAGAGAUUACGUCUUUGUUCAUCCUUUUAGCGGCAGUUCUGACAGGCUCCCACAUCAAAUCACUCCAGCUCAGGCCAGAGAGCUAUUCUGGCAGGGUUUAUCCACUUAGAUAAGUAGGGAAAAGAUGAGAUGCGACCUUGACUGGCAUAACCACGUUGGGAGCAGCCUCCAGUUCUGAAGCAGUUUUCUUGGCAGAACCAUGCAGUUACCUGGAUGACCUGGUUUGUUUUGUGAGGCUUCUAAUACCUCUGUUUUGCACUGUGGCUGUACUGUAGGCUGCCUGCACAGACCUGCCUGUGGCUCUCGAGUCUGGAUUUAGUGGCCAUUUUAGCCUGACUGGAGUUUCCUGGAGUGGGACAGCACAAAAUAUUGUUUCUCUAUUGCAUGUAUUUAUAUGGUGGCAAUGGAAAAUAUUACAGAGUGUCAGAUGGAUAAAAUUUUCUGUUACAAAGAGCAGAGAUAUUGCAGUAACCCAUAUCACUGUCCUGUUGUUAUACAAUGCACUUUGACAGAAAGUUCAAAACAUCUUUUAGACUAGGAUUGAUGAAGGAAGGGCCAGCAUCAUUCAAACAAUAUUGGAUUUAGAUUUUCAAAAAUCAGGAUAAACUAUUCUUCCAGUGGUCUAAUCCUAUUUGCUUCAUUAAAGGCCAGCUGCAUUGCAGGGAGCUGCAAUUCAGGGGAGAAAAUUCUUCAAACAGAAGAAAAUGGCUUUAGCCUUUUGUGUGUGAGAAAGAGGGCAAAGAAAAGAUUAUGGAAGACAAACUAUGACACAUUUGUUUUGAACCAUUUAAACAGCUCUAGGCAUGGGCUGUAUUUUUCAGUAUUUUCAAACAUAUUUUUUUAUGUACUACAAUAGAACUAGUAAGGAACUGAUAUCAUUUGAUGCUUCUAUUUCUGAACAAUGAUAGUUUACUAAUUGUUUAUUCCAUGUUUUUAACAUAAAUUCAUGGAUCAGUAAAAUAACAAAUUGAGCACAAGCCUGAAGAGUUCUAGGUUAUUCUCCUGACUUCUACUCCCUCCUUUGUUUCCCACCUAAUCAGACUUGGAGAAGUAGACAGUAGAGAAAAGAUGGAAUGCCAGCUGGAAAGAACUGCUAAUGGCCUCUUGCCUGGGAACGGUCAUUUGUUAAGCUCUCUCCUGGGAUGGGUGCUGAUUAGUCACAGUCCUUGUGAACUGAGCCUGGUCUGUUCUUGAUCGAGAUAUGUGAAUUUAAAUCAGAAUUUGAGGAUCUCCAGAACAGAGAGUUGGGAAUUUGCUUCAUCAGUCCAGUUAGACUAACUCUAGCCUAUGGUUAUCAUCCACAGCUAUGAAUCCCAAGUUGAUUAUGAGGAAAAUACAACAAUCAAAAUUCUACUUAAUCUGAUAUACCUGAAGUUAGAUCAAGUUCCUUUGAUGCCUCUCAGUAGAAGAAGACCAGAGCACUUCCCAGUGUUGCACUUUGACUGUAAGACUUUCAUAAUUAUUUGUCAGUCAUGGCCAGCAUUGAAGCCAUACAAGAUCCUUUAUAAUCACAAAACAUUUCAACUUAUUCACUACCUCUGUGUCUUUCAACCACAACUUGCCACCAUUGGGCUCUGAGAUCCAAGCAGUUGCAAUGACUACAGAUGCACUGAAUGUUGCCAGGGAAAGCAGGAGGAGGAAUUGAGCCUCAGCACAGAUUUAUUUUUAAAAUUAAAUCCAUGAAAGAAUGAAAAGUGACCUCAUAUCUUUUUUCUUGGCCCAUUCUUUUCCUCUGAGAUGAAUAAAUAAAACAGAGGUUGUGCAAGAACUAUUGUAUUUUCCCGCUUAACUUCUAUUUUAGGUUAUUCAGGGAGGCAGAUGCAUGUAGUCUGACAGGAGGCAUUAAGCUCAGUGAACAUUUUUCAGUUCAAAAGAUUAACCCCCCCUUUAAGCAAAAUAUUUCAAAAAGAGGAGAGUGAGCAAUUACCUGUUGCAGCAAACUUAGCAAACAUUUUUUGAUACUCAUGGCACCAUUUUUCCUGCACAUCAAAGAAAAAUAUCACUCUUCAUUAAAUAUAUCAAUUAACUUAUCACAGGAUCUAAUUGAUAUUUCUAUUCCAGCAAAUAACAUGCUUUUUUUUGUUCUCCAGCUGCAUAAUAUCUGACAGCUCACUGAGCAGUCAAUGUUGUGGAGAAAUCAUGAUCAGUUUUGUAAAGUCUGUCAAUCAUUCAAAUAUUCAAGUUCUCUUUAGACAGAAAAAGUUUCUGAAUUAUAUUAGAUAUUGUGAGUUUCAGUCUCAAGCAAAGCCAGAAAUACAUGAGAAAAAUAAACACUUGAACAAAAAGUUUCUAACUGAUUUAUAUGCAUUUUGAGCUCUGAAAAAGAUAAUUCAAUUGAUUGAUUCAUUUUUAGAGAUGGUUAUCCCUUUUUUAGCAGGAGCUUCAGGAUUUUGAUGUGAGCAGAGGCAAGAUCUUGUUCCUGUGUUUGUGCUUCAAGUGGGAGUUCAGCCUGGAAUAGUCAAGGCUGAAGGACACAGUUUGUUUUUUAAAGGGUGGGAGAGGAAGAAACUGAAACAGAUUAGAUCUUAUUCCAGAACUUUGAGUUUACACAUUAAUUGCCCUGUGACAAAAAGGGUGGCAACCACUGUGGAAAAUGGCCUGACAUUUGCUUCAUUUUCUGUAAUUCAAUGUGAUUUCUGUGCAGGCCUGGUGCUGGGGUCUCUGCCAAAGUAAAGGAAGAAAUCUCACCUAGAUGAAAGGUAACCUUCUGACAAAGUAUUUGAUUGAGGCUUAAGAGAUUUGGACUCAUUUCCAGGGCUUUCACCUGUACACAUUCCUCCCAAACUCACAUUCUUAACUUUGCUAUGGGGAAAUAGCAUGACUGGAUGAUAUGUGAUAGAGUUAAUGUUUGUGUGGUGACAGGUCUUUAAAAAUACAGAACAGCAAAACAGCACCACCUCCAGAAUCUAAAAUUAAUCUAACUAUGUCAUAGAAAGGCUGCAUAAAUAGCAGGGGUUUUUUCUAGGUUUGCAUAUUUUCUAUUAAAUAAAGACUGAAUUUUUUUCCAUUCAUUUACACCUGAGUUAUCCCAGUUUGAACUGCACUAAGAAAUGUCGUUGCCACAGGUCAAAUUAAUGUUCCCCUGGAUAGAUGGCUGAGUCCCUAACAGAAGGCACAGUGCUGAUUCUACUGUGAGAGUCAUUGCUCUUGAAAUGUGGUGGAUGGUGAAGACGAGGCAGGGAAAUAUACUUGCAUUUGGACUUCAGACAACAGCUCACAUUUUGCAAGAGAAGUUUUUAGAACAUAUUGUUGUAUUUAUUCUGUUCUCUGUGGAAAAUGUUGUAAGGAAAAAAAUGUAACUUGUCUCCCUAUGUGAUUUCAGGUCUUGAUUCUGAUCUUUUCUCUUGUUUUUUCUUAAAGUCUAGAAGGAUUAACUUUAAGGGUUUAAUUUUAGUCUAAAGUCUUUUAAAUCAACUUGUAAGUCUGUGAAAUGGCAACCACUGUUUUUUUAAAAUUUUCUUUCCCCUUUGUCAGAAUACGUUUUUUCUCAUAUUCUUCUCUUCAGUGUAUACACCAUUAAUGUAGUUAAAUCAUCUCACUGGCUUCAAAGAUUCCCUCACUGUCUCCAUGGUCCUACUAAACUUUAAGAAUCACAGGUCCCAGCUGAAAAGAGUAUCCAACAUUUGUUCUUGUGCCUUUCUUUGUCCUAUUUCUGUCCUUUGUUUUCUCCCCAGAAAGCUCCAGGCUUGAUUAAGUUGCCAUUUUCAGAACUGCUAGAAUUGAUGAAAUAUGAUAAUAAAAACAGUGGGUUGCUAGUGCAGAGAAGCUCCUUAUGUUUGACAUCAUGCAACAGUGGAAGGCCCUCACCUACGUUCAGCUUUGCAUUCCACCUCCCAAACCACUUCUCCUUUGCAGAGAAGGGCCACAUUAUUCUGCUCUAGUGCUUUCCACCAAAACUGGGUAUCUCAUUCUGAUGUUGUUCAUUCUGUGUCCUCCUCUCCCCCUCUUUGCGUUGCCUUUGGUCAAUGGCCUGCUGCUACUGCCUGUGUCCUUCAGGCUGAAGGCUGGUGUCCCUCAGACCCAGUGCUUGGGACCUUGCCAUGCCUCAGAACGCUUCACUCCACAUCAGUGGGUGGUAGUGGUCCAGGUUUUUGGCAGAAACUCAGGUUUUUGGAGAUCCAAAGCCAAUGAUGAAGAUGCCAUCUAUAGUUAAAAUGUUGGGUGGUAACUGGAGCUGGUGAGCAGGCUGGACUGCAUUCAGCCUGUGAAACAUGGCUGAUGAGAGUCAUGGACAUAGGCUGGGAUCCCUGAUUGCAGUAGGGUCCAGGGGAGCAACAAAGUUGAGAACAGGGACUUGGAAGCAGCCACAAUAUUCAAUAUCUGCAAAGGCCCUGGUGCCAGGGCUGGGGGAAGCCCUAAGCAGUCCUUCCGAGCUGCCUUUGUCAACUGGAUGCUCAUCCUGAGACCUACUUAAUAAGGCUAAGCCAGGAAUUGUUUUGACUGAGUGUCUGAGCUGGAUCUUUGAAUAAAAUUUUUGUUUUUCUCUGCAGCCUCUUAGAAGCUUGAUUAUUCCACUAGAGACAUUUUGAGACCAAUCCCAUGAACAUAUUUUGAGCUUAUUAAAAGCCUGUCUUUAAACUGGCGCAUACAAGCAGCAAUCAAUGAAAACUUGGCACUGCUACACUGAACCACAUUGUGCUGGCCAUAAUAUUGAUGUUUGCUGAAUAUUUACAGCAUUAAAGCAACCGUUCAUUUAAAAGAAACAAGUUGGAAAGAGCUUACACUGAAAGCAGUAAGUAAAUUAUAUCAAAUACCAUAUGAGUUUUGAUGCAGCAUAAGUAAAUCAUUAAAGCUAGCUAGGGCUGUUAUGAUAAAAGAUUUGUCUGAGAAGUUCUGCAUAGAAGAUAGUGGAUUAAUGUAGAUUUUGGUAGCAUAACUUUUUUUUUCCCCUUCCCAAAGAAGUGUUUUCCAGAAGGUAAAGUGAUUCAGAAUUGUGUUGAACAAAUGUGCAUGAGAGGGUAAUUUGGUUUUGUUACGUGAGUGCUAUGCUUCACCUCAUGGAUGGAUUCAUGUCUGUGUCUCGAAUGUCAUUUGACU